GAACGCUGGCGGCAUGCCUAACACAUGCAAGUCGAACGAGACCUUCGGGUCUAGUGGCGCACGGGUGCGUAACGCGUGGGAAUCUGCCCUUGGGUUCGGAAUAACAGCUAGAAAUGGCUGCUAAUACCGGAUGAUGACGUAAGUCCAAAGAUUUAUCGCCCAAGGAUGAGCCCGCGUAGGAUUAGCUAGUUGGUGAGGUAAAGGCUCACCAAGGCGACGAUCCUUAGCUGGUCUGAGAGGAUGAUCAGCCACACUGGGACUGAGACACGGCCCAGACUCCUACGGGAGGCAGCAGUGGGGAAUAUUGGACAAUGGGCGAAAGCCUGAUCCAGCAAUGCCGCGUGAGUGAUGAAGGCCUUAGGGUUGUAAAGCUCUUUUACCCGGGAUGAUAAUGACAGUACCGGGAGAAUAAGCUCCGGCUAACUCCGUGCCAGCAGCCGCGGUAAUACGGAGGGAGCUAGCGUUAUUCGGAAUUACUGGGCGUAAAGCGCACGUAGGCGGCUUUGUAAGUUAGAGGUGAAAGCCUGGAGCUCAACUCCAGAAUUGCCUUUAAGACUGCAUCGCUUGAAUCCAGGAGAGGUGAGUGGAAUUCCGAGUGUAGAGGUGAAAUUCGUAGAUAUUCGGAAGAACACCAGUGGCGAAGGCGGCUCACUGGACUGGUAUGAC
rnacentral:rRNA from 1 species